rnacentral:rRNA from 1 species
GACGUAGGGCGCGAGCGUUGUCCGGAUUUAUUGGGCGUAAAGAGCUCGUAGGCGGCUUGUCGCGUCGACUGUGAAACCCGCGGCUCAACUGCGGGCCUGCAGUCGAUACGGGCAGGCUAGAGUUCGGUAGGGGAGACUGGAAUUCCUGGUGUAGCGGUGAAAUUCGUAGAUAUCGGGAGGAACACCGGUGGCGAAGGCGGUUCUCUGGGCCUUACCUGACGCUGAGGAGCGAAAGCGUGGGGAGCGA